AUUGAACGCUGGCGGCGUGCCUAACACAUGCAAGUCGAGCGGUAACAGGUGUAGCAAUACAUGCUGACGAGCGGCGAACGGGUGAGUAAUGCUUCGGAAUCUACCCAAUGGUGGGGAAUAACCAGCCGAAAGGUUGGCUAAUACCGCAUACGUCCUACGCGAGAAAGCAGGGGAUCGUAAGACCUUGCGCCAAUGGAUGAGCCGAAGUCGGAUUAGCUAGNGGUAGGGUAACGGCCUACCAAGGCGACGAUCCGUAGCUGGUCUGAGAGGACGACCAGCCACACUGGGACUGAGACACGGCCCAGACUCCUACGGGAGGCAGCAGUGGGGAAUAUUGGACAAUGGGGGAAACCCUGAUCCAGCGACGCCUCGUGUGUGAAGAAGGCCUGCGGGUUGUAAAGCA
rnacentral:rRNA from 1 species